rnacentral:rRNA from 1 species
GAUGAACGCUGGCGGCGCGCCUAACACAUGCAAGUCGAACGAUUAAAGCACCUUCGGGUGUGUAUAAAGUGGCGAACGGCUGAGUAACACGUGGGCAACCUGCCCCUUUCAUUGGGAUAGCCACGGGAAACCGUGGAUAAUACCGAAUACUUCGAGACUUCCGCAUGGAAGACUCGAGAAAGCUCCGGCGGAGAGGGAUGGGCCCGCGGCCUGUUAGCUUGUUGGUGGGGUAACGGCCUACCAAGGCAAUGAUGGGUAGCUGGGUUGAGAGACCGACCAGCCAGAUUGGGACUGAGACACGGCCCAGACUCCUACGGGAGGCAGCAGUGGGGAAUCUUGCACAAUGGGCGAAAGCCUGAUGCAGCGACGCCGCGUGCGGGAUGAAGGCCUUCGGGUCGUAAACCGCUUUCAGCAGGGACGAGGCGAAAGUGACGGUACCUGCAGAAGAAGCCCCGGCUAACUACGU